rnacentral:rRNA from 1 species
AUUGAUUAUGUAAUAUUAAAAGACUUAUCUAUAUAUAGUAAUGAUUUAACGUUAUAUUAUAUUAAAUGAUAAUGAAAUAAUGAAGAUUGUAAUAUAAUAUAUUAAAUUGUGUUAAUUAUAAAGUAAGAAUAGAAUGAAAAGAAAAUAUAUAAGAAUACAUAGAAUGAAGAUAAGAGAUUCAUAAUUUAUAAAUAUGUCAUUUAGACAAACAUGGAGAGUACGAUAUACAACCGAAGUAGAUGUGAAAUAGGGGUGUAAUAGGCAUAUCUGAUAUACCAAUCCGUCUGCAAGUGCAUAAUGUACUAAUCCAAUCAUUAAACUAGUGGUACGGGAAGGGGGCAGGGAAACGAGAGGGAAUCCAAAUUGCCUUGUCUGGAAAGAAGGCAGCGGGUCGAUCGUGGCUCUCCUUUAGUCGGCUUCCUUGUUUGGAGGUCUACUGUAACCCCCGAGGGAAAAGUCCGCGCUCAGGAUGAGCCUGCGUUAGAUCCUCUAGGGGUGAGGUAAUGGCUUAGCAAGGCUAGAUCUAAAGCUGGUUUGAGGGGACGAUCAGCCACCCCGAAAUGAGAUGCGGUCCAGACUCCUCCGGGAGGCAGCAGGGGUUUCCCUCCACAAUGGGGGAAAGCCCGAUCCACCUAGGCCCGGCCCGAAGCGACGAAGGCAUCUCGGCCUGCACAACUAACCCAUU